rnacentral:tRNA from 1 species
AGGAUAUUAGUUAAAUUUAUGAAAUAACAUUUAUUUUGCAAAUAAAAAUUAUCUUAAAAAUAUAUCUUA